AAUAGAUACCCCGGUAGUCCACCCCGUAAACGUUGGGAACUAGUUGUGGGGUCCAUUCCACGGAUUCCGUGACGCAGCUAACGCAUUAAGUUCCCCGCCUGGGGAGUACGGCCGCAAGGCUAAAACUCAAAGGAAUUGACGGGGACCCGCACAAGCGGCGGAGCAUGCGGAUUAAUUCGAUGCAACGCGAAGAACCUUACCAAGGCUUGACAUAUAGAGGAAACGUCUGGAAACAGUCGCCCCGCAAGGUCUCUAUACAGGUGGUGCAUGGUUGUCGUCAGCUCGUGUCGUGAGAUGUUGGGUUAAGUCCCGCAACGAGCGCAACCCUCGUUCUAUGUUGCCAGCACGUAAUGGUGGGAACUCAUGGGAUACUGCCGGGGUCAACUCGGAGGAAGGUGGGGAUGACGUCAAAUCAUCAUGCCCCUUAUGUCUUGGGCUUCACGCAUGCUACAAUGGCCGGUACAAAGGGCUGCAAUACCGUGAGGUGGAGCGAAUCCCAAAAAGCCGGUCCCAGUUCGGGUUGAGGUCUGCAACUCGACCUCAUG
rnacentral:rRNA from 1 species